rnacentral:rRNA from 1 species
AUUGAACGCUGGCGGCAGGCCUAACACAUGCAAGUCGAACGGUAACAGGAAACAGCUUGCUGUUUCGCUGACGAGUGGCGGACGGGUGAGUAAUGUCUGGGAAACUGCCUGAUGGAGGGGGAUAACUACUGGAAACGGUAGCUAAUACCGCAUAACGUCGCAAGACCAAAGAGGGGGACCUUCGGGCCUCUUGCCAUCGGAUGUGCCCAGAUGGGAUUAGCUAGUAGGUGGGGUAACGGCUCACCUAGGCGACGAUCCCUAGCUGGUCUGAGAGGAUGACCAGCCACACUGGAACUGAGACACGGUCCAGACUCCUACGGGAGGCAGCAGUGGGGAAUAUUGCACAAUGGGCGCAAGCCUGAUGCAGCCAUGCCGCGUGUAUGAAGAAGGCCUUCGGGUUGUAAAGUACUUUCAGCGGGGAGGAAGGGAGUAAAGUUAAUACCUUUGCUCAUUGACGUUACCCGCAGAAGAAGCACCAGCUAACUCCGUG